rnacentral:rRNA from 1 species
UACGGAGGGUGCGAGCGUUGUCCGGAAUCACUGGGCGUAAAGGCGCGUAGGCGGCCUGAUAAGUAGGGGGUGAAAUCCUGCGGCUUAACCGCAGGGCUGCCUUCUAAACUGUCAGGCUAGAGCACAGUAGAGGCAGGUGGAAUUCCCGGUGUAGCGGUGGAAUGCGUAGAGAUCGGGAAGAACAUCAGUGGCGAAGGCGGCCUGCUGGGCUGUUGCUGACGCUGAGGCGCGACAGCGUGGGGAGCAAACGAG